rnacentral:rRNA from 1 species
AAUUAUAUGUUUUUAUAUAUAGCUAUUUCUGCUCAAUGAUAUAUUAAAUAGCCGCAGUACUCUGACUGUGCAAAGGUAGCAUAAUCAAUUGGCUUUUAAUUAAAGUCUAGCAUGAACGAAAUCAUGGGUAAUAGCUGUCUAAAUAUAAUCUUAAGAAUUUAGUAUGCAAGUGAAAAUACUUGCCUUUUAUAAAAGACGAGAAGACCCUAGAAACUUGUAAUAUAUUUUGUUGGGGCGACAGAAUUACAUAUAACUAAUUUUUUAUUUACAUGACGCUAAGCUGAUAGAUUAAGUUACUCUAGGGAUAACAGCAUAAUUUAAAUAGUUUGUGACCUCGAUGUUGGACUAGGUACAAUAUUCUUUAGAAGAGAAUUGAUAUGCUCUGUUCGAGCAAGACCACCU